AAGGCUUUAGCUUAAUUAAAGUGCCUGAUUUGCAUUCAGGGGAUAUAGGUUAAUGUCCUAUAAGUCUUA
rnacentral:tRNA from 1 species